rnacentral:rRNA from 1 species
AGAACGAACGCUGGCGGCAUGCCUAAUACAUGCAAGUCGAACGAACACUUCGGUGUUAGUGGCGCACGGGUGCGUAACGCGUGGGAAUCUGCCCUUGGGUUCGGAAUAACAGUUGGAAACGACUGCUAAUACCGGAUGAUAUCGAAAGAUCAAAGAUUUAUCGCCCAGGGAUGAGCCCGCGUAGGAUUAGCUAGUUGGUGAGGUAAGGCUCACCAAGGCGACGAUCCUUAGCUGGUCUGGAGAGGAUGACUCAGCCACACGUAGGGACUGACGACCGACGGCCCAGACCUACCGUACGGGACGGCAGCGAAGGUAGGGAAUGUAGGACAAGU